rnacentral:rRNA from 1 species
CAGUCGCCGCGGUAAUACGUAGGUGGCAAGCGUUGUCCGGAAUUAUUGGGCGUAAAGCGCGCGCAGGUGGUUUAAUAAGUCUGAUGUGAAAGCCCACGGCUCAACCGUGGAGGGUCAUUGGAAACUGUUAAACUUGAGUGCAGGAGAGAAAAGUGGAAUUCCACGUGUAGCGGUGAAAUGCGUAGAGAUGUGGAGGAACACCAGUGGCGAAGGCGACUCUCUGGUCUGUAACUGACGCUGAGGAGCGAAAGCGUGGGGAGCGAACAGGAUUAGAUACCCGUGUAGUCCCUGUCUCUUAUAC